rnacentral:lncRNA from 1 species
UUUUUUUUUUUUUUUGGACUUGGCAGCAUUCAACAUCAGUCGCAGAGGAGAUGUGUAUUUUCUGCCCCUACAGUUCCUUUGUGUUUGUCACAGUGUGAGCAUUUCUCUCAACAUACAAUUAAAGGUUAAUAUUUCCAUAUAUCGAUAUUUCCAAAGCAGUCCAAGUCCUUUACCUCACCAUCAAACGAGGUCUAUUCUAACCAACGCUGAAGGUAAAGAAAUACCAAGACCUCAGAGAGUGAUUUUUAAAGAAUUCUUAAUGAAACUAUUGUGAUCAGCAAAGUUGACUCAAUGCUUUAUAUCUGAAUGCCUCACAAUAUUUGAUCCAUUCUUCUUCUUGUAUUUCUAACUCAGUUUCUCGUAUUUUCUCUCAAUCUCCUUGGCAUAUUCCUUCUGUCAUUCAACAGUGGACAUUCCAAAAGGCCAGUUCCUCUGGUGCUGCUGUUUUCCUCUUUCAUUUUAUUCCUUGAAACAGAUCCAUUUUGCCACGGUCAGCUCUCCUCCAUAUGUGUUUGGCCCUCAUGUCUCCUCUGAGUUCUGGUUAAAUUAUCUUUGGCAGUGUAUUAGAUGUUUCUACUCAGUAAUUCACAGAUAUUAUCAACAAAAAAGUCAGUUUUUUUGUUGUUGUUGUAUGAAAGUAAACACUCCAGCCUUCCCCCAGCUUCACCAGUCUAAUUCUCAUCUGGUUCCCACUGUGGGAUUGCUAUUCCAGUUACGGCCACAUUCACAUUUCAAUGUAUUCCUUUUGCGUUGCUCUAUAGUUUGUUCACAUUUUUUUUUUCAUUAUUCUUCCUAAAAUCUUUUGAGUAUUUCUUCUUCUGUUUUUCAGAUUCUUCUUCAAAUUAUACAUCAGUCUCUUAUUCAGGUCUAAAUACAGCCAAGUCAGCCAUUGCAAAUUCCAAGAAGCCAUUGACCAGCUUUACCAUUAUGAUUUAACUUUGUCAGCAAUCUGGCUAUACACUGAGUGUUUUUUUUUUCAUUUCACAUUUAUAUUUUGACUAAAAUUAUUCACUAUAUAAAAUAAAGUUUUUCUUUCCAUCAUAAUUAAAAUUGGUGGGUAUCUGGUGACAUUCUCUAAUCCACAAGUAGUUCCCUUUGAUGACAACACCCUAACUGUUUUAAACGUUAGACACGAUGCAUGCACACAAAUAGUUUUCCUGUCCUACUUUUUUUUUUUUUGAAAUAUUGCAAAUCUGAGCCAGAAAGCAGUCAAUUAAGGCAGAGCAGAGAUUUUUCUUGACUUCAUUUACAUGCAUAAGAUCACUAUGUUUACAGUUGGAGUAGUAUUUGCCCCAAAACAUGCUUUUUCCAUCCAAGUUACGGUAUUAUGUUGAGGUAAAACUUCUCUUAGACUCUGGCAACACUUUAUUCAUUGAGAAAGUCUUUAUUAAUUUUCAUAUUUUCUCUGUUUUUAUGUCUUUUACUUGCAAAGUGGAGGAGCAAUUUUAAAUAAAAAAUUUGCAUAAUUGUCAAAUUCUCAUUCAUUCUGAUUGGAUGCUAAUUCAGUCAGGAA